UGAAUCUGUGACACCAAGAAUUAAGAAGGAGGUCCAAACUGGUGCCAGCAAGGUGUACCUAAUAAAGUGGCCACGUCUCCCCUGAAGAAGGGACAGAAGAGCGACAUCUACAAGACACAGCUGCCUGUGACCUGUGGACAGAAGGAGGGGACACUGGACAGACAAAGACUAGCUAAAGGGGAGAAGUGCAUUGUGUUCAAGAAACGGUGGUUUACUCCCGGUGAAUUUGAGAGGUUCGCGGGGAAGGAAAGCUCCAAGAACUGGAAGUUGAGCAUUCGAUGUCAGGGCACCCCACUGGAAAAACUUAUAAAGGUUUGUUGAAAAGUGAAUUUGAAAUACAUGUGGAACCUGGCUGUGUGACACAGCUUGCUUUUCUCUAAAGCAGCAGUGUGUAGGAUUUAGUGGCUCCAAGUUAGGAUUCCUUCAGUGUUCAUUGUUCAGGAGGUUUUUACUUGGAGCCCUGUCAAAUAAAUCCAAACCUAUAUGACUGGACCAUGUGGGACUUUACUUUGAAAGGGCAGACACAGGAAGUGUCCACGCUCAGCAGUCAGACAGGAGUCAGGUUCAUUUCCAGGGCUGGUACCUGCGGUUAUUCCACAGGCUAGUUAAUAACAUGUCGGGCAGGAAAUCCAAAGUGUGGGAUCAUUUUGAGAAGGUGAAGGACGAACCCAAGGUGAUAUGUAAACUCAUCUUCAUUGGUCGACUACAAACAUGACGUAUCAUCUGAAACAUGGAAGUAGCUACAUGCCCAUUAGCCCACAGCGUCAUUAACAGGCGGCUCGCUCAGUGUGUGACGUGCACUUGGAGAUAAAAUAUAGGCCUAUAUUAAUGAAGGUUCAUUAGUACGGUUUGUAUUUCUCUGUAAUGUAGCACAGUGUUAACAAUGUUACUGAUACUAUUCUUUCUCACACCUUCAACUCAAACCACCAAAAUAUAUCAUUUAAUCAUUACAUUCAUAUCAGAAACAUGCGGGAGACUAGUCCACUGAUGGACCUAAAUGACGACUAUUGGUCGACUAGGAAAAUUCUUAGCUGGAAGCAGCCCAAACUACACUACAUUUCUGCAGGCCAAAGUUAAGUUUGGAUUUACAGUCAAGUCUACACUGCACGUUAGAUUAGAUGCUACAUGCUAGCGACUAAUUUCCACUCAAUGAGAAAGGCUUCACGAUGAAAGCAGAAAAUGGCGUCCCACAGCAGAGAGGGUGAGUAAUGAUUCAAAGAGAUAAAGGUUUGUGACUGCAGUGUGUCAGCCCUGGAUAGUCAAAGGUUUCCUUUAAAUGCUUUUAAAUGCUAAAUGUUUUUAAGAAGACCUUGUUUUUCUUCAAGUGUAGUGUACGCUCCAUUUGUAAGGUGGCGUACAAGCUCAGAAAUAAACUUGAUAAUCCUCAGAAUUCUGAGUGCUUGCUUUUUUAUUGACAGCAUUUACUUGUACUUUUACUUUCAACAACUUCAAUUAAAAGCAUAGUCCAAAUUAAACACUCUCGUCCCUUUCAGUAGCCCGGUGUGGCUACACAUUUUGAGAAAUAAAGGCCUGUCUCAAUUAGAGGCCUGUGCUUUAA